rnacentral:rRNA from 1 species
CCCAGACUCCUACGGGAGGCAGCAGUGGGGGAUAUUGCACAAUGGGGGGAACCCUGAUGCAGCGACGCCGCGUGGGUGAAGGAGCGUUUCGGCGCGUAAAGCCCUAUCGGCAGGGAAGAAGGAGGACGGUACCUGACUAAGAAGCCCCGGCUAACUACGUGCCAGCAGCCGCGGUAAUACGUAGGGGGCAAGCGUUAUCCGGAUUUACUGGGUGUAAAGGGGGCGCAGACGGCAGCGCAAGCCAGGAGUGAAAGCCCGGGGCCCAACCCCGGGACUGCUCUUGGAACUGCGCGGCUGGAGUGCAGGAGGGGCAGGCGGAAUUCCUGGUGUAGCGGUGAAAUGCGUAGAUAUCAGGAGGAACACCGGUGGCGAAGGCGGCCUGCUGGACUGCGACUGACGUUGAGGCCCGAAAGCGUGGGGAGCAAACAGGAUUAGAUACCCCUGUACCA